rnacentral:rRNA from 1 species
CAAUAGCGUAUAUUAAAGUUGUUGCAGUUAAAAAGCUCGUAGUUGGAUUUGUGGCGUACGGUGUGUUCCGGGCACUUGUUGUCUGAGUAACCUGCUGUUGCCAUCCUUGGGUGGAACCUGUGUGGCAUUAGGUUGUCGUGCAGGGGAUGCCCAUCAUUUACUGUGAAAAAAUUAGAGUGUUCAAAGCAGGCUUAUGCCGUUGAAUAUAUUAGCAUGGAAUAAUGAGAUAGGACUUUUUUGCUAUUUUGUUGGUUCGCGCAAAGAGGUAAUGAUUAAUAGGGACAGUUGGGGGUAUUCGUAUUCCAUUGUCAGAGGUGAAAUUCUUGGAUUUUUGGAAGACGAACUACUGCGAAAGCAUUUACCAAGGAUGUUUUCAUUAA